rnacentral:rRNA from 1 species
UCCAGAGUUUGAUCAUGGCUCAGGACGAACGCUGGCGGCGUGCUUAACACAUGCAAGUCGAGCGGAAAGGCCCUUCGGGGUACUCGAGCGGCGAACGGGUGAGUAACACGUGAGUAACCUGCCCCAGACUUUGGGAUAACCUUCGGAAACGGAGGCUAAUACCGAAUACGACGUGCCACCGCAUGGUGUGUCCGUGGAAAGUUUUUCGGUUUGGGAUGGACUCGCGGCCUAUCAGCUUGUUGGUGGGGUAAUGGCCUACCAAGGCGACGACGGGUAGCCGGCCUGAGAGGGCGACCGGCCACACUGGGACUGAGACACGGCCCAGACUCCUACGGGAGGCAGCAGUGGGGAAUAUUGCACAAUGGGCGGAAGCCUGAUGCAGCGACGCCGCGUGAGGGAUGACGGCCUUCGGGUUGUAAACCUCUUUCAGCAGGGACGAAGCGCAAGUGACGGUACCUGCAGAAGAAGCGCCGGCCAAUCUACGUGCCAGCAGCCGCGGUAAGACGUAGGGCGCGAGCGUUGUCCGGAUUUAUUGGGCGUAAAGAGCUCGUAGGCGGCUUGUCGCGUCGAAUGUGAAAACUCGGGGCUCAACUCCGAGCUUGCAUUCGAUACGGGCAGGCUAGAGUUCGGUAGGGGAGACUGGAAUUCCUGGUGUAGCGGUGAAAUGCGCAGAUAUCAGGAGGAACACCGGUGGCGAAGGCGGGUCUCUGGGCCGAUACUGACGCUGAGGAGCGAAAGCGUGGGGAGCGAACAGGAUUAGAUACCCUGGUAGUCCACGCUGUAAACGUUGGGCGCUAGGUGUGGGGGACCUCUCCGGUCUUCUGCGCCGCAGCUAACGCA